GUGAAUCAUCAAAUUUUUGAACGCAAAUUGCACUCUCUGGUAUUCCGGAGAGUAUGCCUGUUUGAGUGUCAGUUUAAAUAAAAGUCGGUGUGGUUGCUGCCUUUCGCGGUGACGCAGCGGAUUUGGAUCGUCUUGCCUUCGGUUAAGUGGCCUAAAAUUGUGAAUAAUUUUUUUUCGAACGUGUUUAAUUGAGUUUACGUACGGUUGC
rnacentral:misc_RNA from 1 species